CGGAGAGGGCGCAUGAGAAACGGCCCCUCAUUCAAGGAAGGCAGCAGGGGCGCAAAUUACCCAAUCCCUAUACGGGGAGGGAGGGACAAUAUGUAACAAUAUACGGCCUUAUACGUCGUAUAAUUGGAAUGAGUACAAUUUAAAUCCCUUAACGAGGAACAAUUGGAGGGCAAGUCUGGUGCCAGCAGCCGCGGUAAUUCCAGCUCCAAUAGCGUAUAUUAAAGUUGUUGCAGUUAAAAAGCUCGUAGUUGGACCUUGGACCUGGACAGGCGGUCCGCCUCACGGCGAGUACUGUCUUGCUGGGUCUUUCCUCUUGGUGAUCUGUUGUUUCGGCAGCAGGGAACCAGGACCUUUACUUUGAAAAAAUUAGAGUGUUCAAAGCAGGCUCGACGCCGGAAUAUAUUAGCAUGGAAUAAUAAAAUAGGACGUGCGGUUCUAUUUUGUUGGUUUUUGGAAUCGCCGUAAUGAUUAAUAGGGACAGUCGGGGGCAUUAGUACUCGCAUGCUAGAGGUGAAAUUCUUGGAUUUUGUGAAGACUAACUUCUGCGAAAGCAUUUGCCAAGGAUGUUUUCAUUAAUCAAGAACGAAGGUUAGGGUAUCGAAAACGAUUAGAUACCGUUGUAGUCUUAACAGUAAACUAUGCCGACUAGGGAUCGGUCGAUGUUAUCUUUUUGACUCGAUCGGCACCUUACGAGAAAUCAAAGUUUUUUGGUUCUGGGGGGAGUAUGGUCGCAAGGCUGAAACUUAAAGAAAUUGAC
rnacentral:rRNA from 1 species